rnacentral:rRNA from 1 species
AUUAAAUGAGAGUUUGAUCCUGGCUCAGGACGAACGCUGGCGGCGUGCCUAAUACAUGCAAGUAGAACGCUGAAGACUUUAGCUUGCUAAAGUUGGAAGAGUUGCGAACGGGUGAGUAACGCGUAGGUAACCUGCCUACUAGCGGGGGAUAACUAUUGGAAACGAUAGCUAAUACCGCAUAACAGCAUUUAACCCAUGUUAGAU